rnacentral:rRNA from 1 species
GAUGAACGCUGGCGGCGUGCCUAAUACAUGCAAGUCGAGCGAACAGAUGAGGAGCUUGCUCCUCUGACGUUAGCGGCGGACGGGUGAGUAACACGUGGAUAACCUACCUAUAAGACUGGGAUAACUUCGGGAAACCGGAGCUAAUACCGGAUAAUAUAUUGAACCGCAUGGUUCAAUAGUGAAAGACGGUUUUGCUGUCACUUAUAGAUGGAUCCGCGCCGCAUUAGCUAGUUGGUAAGGUAACGGCUUACCAAGGCAACGAUGCGUAGCCGACCUGAGAGGGUGAUCGGACACACUGGAACUGAGACACGGACCAGACGACUACGGGAGGCAGAAGUAGGGAAUCUUCCGCAAUGGGCGAAAGCAUGACGGAGCAACGCCGCGUGAGUGAUGAAGGUCUUCGGAUCGUAAAACUCUGUUAUUAGGGAAGAACAAAUGUGUAAGUAACUAUGCACGUCUUGACGGUACCUAAUCAGAAAGCCACGGCUAACUACGUG